UUUAACAAAAAUUUUCAUCAGCGAUUCAAUUUACGAAAAUAUUGCUGAAAUUGCUAAUUGUCGUUCUAGCAAAACGCCGCCGCCGAGGGAUUUUUUCUUGGUUUCAAUAUCGCGAUUGUCGAAGUCCGUAGAAGACGACGAAUUGGAUUGCAUCUGAAUUUAUCUCUGCCGGCGACGAACACCCAUCUUAUAUGCUAUGGAUUCACUGCGUCGAACUGAUAUUGUGGUACCAGAACGUUCAAGUUGAAAAUGUUAAAGAACAAGCAAAUGAACUCGACCAUGUCGUCGUAGAUUCCAUGAUGCAGGGUGAUGCUACGAUUACGUCUGCUAAUGUGUGGUGUGCUGAGGAGAAAGAACCUGUUAGUUUGGUGAUCAUUUCAGAUACUCACUAUU